UGUACACUUCCACAAAUAUUACCCUGCGUAUGCAAAUCUUUAUGACGUCAUUUUACCUUCAUACUGCAUACGCACUGCAGACGGAGUGUGUGUGAAACAGUCGUUAUGCACAGACUGUCACGUACACACGGUUUCAAGUGGCCAAGACCACAAGUGUGGGUAUUUGGACAGGGUAAAAGUCUUAAAAAUGCCCCAUUGGUAAGAACCCUAAACCAUAGUAGCACAUCAAAGUCUUAAUAAUUCAGUAAUUCAGUUUAACACUUGUAUGAUAUUGUACAAGCCCCAGGACCAUCUCAUCUGACACUAUCACAAUACUGGUAAAUCAGUUGCGCUCGUCAGAUGCCCCAAACAGUCAGAAAGUUUAUAUUGUCCAUUGGCUUCUUAAUAAAUUACUUCAAAUAAGCCCCAUCAGUUCAUGUUCCAACUAUACAUAAUAUCUCUCUGCACCUCAUCAUUUAUGUUUCCACGAGAGGAAAUGCUAGUCUAAAGUGUGACAUGAGACAGUAUAUCAUAUCUUUGAUUAAUUUGUCAGAACCAGAUCAAUUACACUACUGAUAACAGUCCUGAAAGCAUGUAAUAAUUUUUAAAAGAAUUCAUAUGAAUAUAGCUUGUUAUUAAUGACUUGCUUUUAAUAAUAGAUAAAUUUAACAUUUAAUUAUACAGCAUCUACAGAGGCUGCUUUUAUGGUCUAACCCAUCCCCCAGAUAAUGCUGUUCUUCUUUUUCAGGUCUACAAUAUAGAGAUCAACAGCUCUUUUAAGAGCCAACUCUCACAAACCUUGAUAAAAACUAAAAGAGCUAUUACUGAGUCUCAGCGAAUCUUGCCAUGAUCAGCCCUUCCCAGAAGAGAAGGAAGACCAAGGAAAUUAUUUGUUCAGGAUGAGGAAUGAAGACGGCCAUCUUGUGCUCAAACAAAGACAGAAAGUCCACUGAUGAUCUCAUCAGUCAAGUGAGGGGUUUUGACCAAGUGAUGCUCUUGAAAGGAGUGAAAGAAGAGGAUGUGGUAAAUUGUCUUAAGAGAAAAAGUUUCUCAAAAGGUCCUAAAACAGCUUGAAGAAUGGUCUGGGAUCUGUCUGAAAAUGGGAUGUUAGGACUGAGAGAUCCUCUUUCUGAGAAAAAGCUAUACCACAUCACUGCUAAAUAUCAACCACAAACUGUUUACAGACACGAGAAGAUCACAAUGGAGAAAUGAAACCAGUUUAGAUGUGAUGAUAAGGAAUCAUUAUUUUCUGAAACAGUAUCACAUGUCUUAUAUGUAUCACAUGAUCUGUAUCACAGUUGACUGGAUGGAAUUUUUUGACUUUUAACCACAUUUCAUUACUCAUCUGUGUGAACUGAUUAAUUUAUGAUAUUAAUGAAUUUUUGAUUAUCCAUUAUUAUUUUCCUUGAAUCUUAUUUGUCUUGAUGCUACUUUAUCAACUUAAUUGUUAUGUCUUGUCAUGUCUUGUUCCAGUUCUUUCUUUUUACUCUGUCUCCCUCUGCUGGUCUUUUUAGGUUACUUUCUCUUUCCUCAGCUGUUCUUCAUCUUAUCUGACUACCUCGUUUACUCUCUUCCCACCUGUUCCCUUUUUCCCCUCUGAUUACUCCCCUAUUUCUCCCUCUGUUUUCGCUGCCUCCUUUGUCAGAUUCUCGUUUGAGUUUUUCUCGCAAGAAGCAGACAACUAUCCUGUCAGUCUCUGCUCUAGUCCCGUCCCGUCCCGUCCCGUCCCGUCCCGUCCCGUCCCGUCCUGUCCUGUCCUGUCUUGUCCUGUUGAGACCUGCCUGGUAACCCUUCCUGUUCUCUGUUUAUCGCCUUCACAUUUGUAUUCUGUCCAGUUUUGCCUGAUGCCGAGAGACAACCAUCCAUCCCUGUCUGCCUGCUACCCGCGUGCACUUUGAGAGACCUGUGGUCGGUCGCCGCUAUCACUACAGACCCAAACUGCUGCCAAAAGGGCCUUUUCAAGUCACCUGCUGUCAUUUCUGUUUUGUUUUCUAUCACCCUCUCUGCGGGUUACUAAGUUGCCUUUAUCUCUCAGAAGAACAUUUGAGUUUCACAUUGUUGAUUACUGGAGUUUACAUUAAAGACUCUAUUUUUGUUCAAUCGCAUUUGGGUCC